rnacentral:lncRNA from 1 species
AUCUCAUGUGAUCUAGUUCCGGAUCAUUACAAUGCCCCUUGGAUACUUAAUCAACCUAUCAACCAAUUAUAGAGACAUGAUAGUUGGCUUUAAUUCUCCUAAGUUAAGUUGUGCAUAUGUUGAAUAUGGCAUCAAAUUGAUGCUUGCUCCCAUAUCCAAUAUGGCUUUAGUAACCUUUUUUUUAUCUCCCAUUGUAAUAUUGACGGUAAAGUUCCCAAGUCUUUCAUCUUAGGAGAUAAUUGUUGCUGGGGAACUGUACCUGUUGUUUCAGAUACUAUAACUUUUUCAUUGCUCCCAUAUCUAAUCUUGUUGGAAUUAAGUUUCUU